UGUUUUAAAGGGCCGCGGUAUCUGAACCGUGCUAAGGUAGCAUAAUCAAUAGUCUUUUAAUUGAAGUCUAGAAUGAAUGGUUUGACGAGAAAUUAACUGUUUCAAGCGUAUUAAUUCGAAUUUUACUUUUAAGUGAAAAGGCUUAAAUGAAGUGGUGGGACGAUAAGACCCUAUGAAGCUUGUACAUCUUUGUUUUGCUGGGGCGGCGGAGAUAAAUAAUUAACUGUCUAUUAAUUAGAAAUAAUUUUUUUUAGUAAAUUGAUCUUCUAAUAGGGAUUAAAAAAUUAAAGUUACUCUAGGGAUAACAGCGUAAUUCUUCUUGAGAGUUCUUAUCGACAGAAGUAGUUGCGACCUCGAUGUUGAAUUAAAUUUUCUCCAAGGUGUAGCAGCUUUGGUAGUAGGUCUGUUCGACCUUUAAAAUUUUACAUGAUUUGAGUUCAGACCGGCGUGAGCCAG
rnacentral:rRNA from 1 species